rnacentral:rRNA from 1 species
ACUCAAAUGAAUUGACGGGGACCCGCACAAGCGGUGGAGCAUGUGGAUUAAUUCGAUACUAACCGAAGAACCUUACCCAGGUUUGACAUCGAUUGAAAGCUCUAGAGAUAGGGCCCUCCCUCACAAGGGGACAUGAAGACACUUGUUGCAUGGCUGUCGUCAGCUCGUGCCGUGAGGUGUACGGUUAAGUCCGCCAACGAGCGCAACCCUCGUCCUGUGUUACCAGCGAUUAAAGUCGGGCACUCACAGGAGACCGCCGGUGUAAGCCGGAGGAAGGUGAGGAUGACGUCAAGUCAGCAUGGCAGUUACGCCUGGGGCUUCACACAUGCUACAAUGGGCGAAACAGAGGGCAGCAAUACCGCGAGGUGGAGCAAAUCCCAAAAAUACGCCCCCAGUUCAGAUUGCAGUCUGCAACUCGACUGCAUGAAGGCGGAAUCGCUAGUAAACGCAGGUCAGCUAUACUGCGUUGAAUACGUUCCCGGGUCUUGUACACACCGCCCGU